AUUGAACGCUGGCGGCAGGCCUAACACAUGCAAGUCGAGCGGAGCGGCGGACGGGUGAGUAAUGCCUAGGAAUCUGCCUGGUAGUGGGGGAUAACGUUCGGAAACGGACGCUAAUACCGCAUACUAUCAGAUGAGCCUAGGUCGGAUUAGCUAGUUGGUGGGGUAAUGGCUCACCAAGGCAAGUAACCGUAACUGGUCUGAGAGGAUGAUCAGUCACACGGGGACUGGGACAGGGCCCAGACUCCUCCGGUAGGCAGAAGUGGGUAAUAUUGGACAAUGGGCGAAAGCCUGAUCCAGCCAGGCCGCGUGUGUGAAGAAGGUCUUCGGAUUGUAAAGCACUUUAAGUUGGGAGGCGUUACUACAGAAUAAGCACCGGCUAACUCCGUGCCAGCAGCCGCGGUAAUAC
rnacentral:rRNA from 1 species